rnacentral:rRNA from 1 species
GGAACUGAGACACGGUCCAGACUCCUACGGGAGGCAGCAGUAGGGAAUCUUCCGCAAUGGGCGAAAGCCUGACGGAGCAACGCCGCGUGAGUGAUGAAGGUCUUCGGAUCGUAAAACUCUGUUAUUAGGGAAGAACAUAUGUGUAAGUAACUGUGCACAUCUUGACGGUACCUAAUCAGAAAGCCACGGCUAACUACGUGCCAGCAGCCGCGGUAAUACGUAGGUGGCAAGCGUUAUCCGGAAUUAUUGGGCGUAAAGCGCGCGUAGGCGGUUUUUUAAGUCUGAUGUGAAAGCCCACGGCUCAACCGUGGAGGGUCAUUGGAAACUGGAAAACUUGAGUGCAGAAGAGGAAAGUGGAAUUCCAUGUGUAGCGGUGAAAUGCGCAGAGAUAUGGAGGAACACCAGUGGCGAAGGCGACUUUCUGGUCUGUAACUGACGCUGAUGUGCGAAAGCGUGGGGAUCAAACAGGAUUAGAUACCCUGGUAGUCCACGCCGUAAACGAUGAGUGCUAAGUGUUAGGGGGUUUCCGCCCCUUAGUGCUGCAGCUAACGCAUUAAGCACUCCGCCUGGGGAGUACGACCGCAAGGUUGAA